rnacentral:rRNA from 1 species
AGUCGAGGGGUAAAUGGUAGCAAUACUAUGAGACCGGCGGACGGGUGCGUAACGCGUAUGCAACAUACCUUGUGCAGGGGGAUAGCCCGUGGAAACGCGGAUUAAUAUUCCAUAGUCCAGCUAUAUCGCAUGGUAUAGUUGGUAAAGAUUUAUCGGCACAAGUUUGGCAUGCGUCUGAUUAGCUUGUUGGUAGGGUAACGGCCUACCAAGGCUACGAUCAGUAGGGGUUCUGAGAGGAUUAACCCCCACACUGGUACUGAGACACGGACCAGGCUCCUACGGGAGGCAGCAGUGAGGAAUAUUGGUCAAUGGGCGGAAGCCUGAACCAGCCAUCCCGCGUGAAGGAAGACAGCCUUACGGGUUGUAAACUUCUUUUCUGUCAGAAGAAUAAGCUUGUCGAGACGAGUGAUGCCGGUAUGACAGGAAUAAGCAUCGGCUAACUCCGUGCCAGCAGCCGCGGUAAUACGGAGGAUGCAAGCGUUAUCCGGAUUUAUUGGGUUUAAAGGGUGCGCAGGUUGUUUGAUAAGUCAGUGGUGAAAGUCUGUCGCUUAACGGUAGGAUUGCCAUUGAUACUGUUGGACUUGAAUAUGGAUGAGGUAGGCGGAAUGUGUAGUGUAGCGGUGAAAUGCAUAGAUAUUACACAGAACACCGAUUGCGAAGGCAGCUUACUAAUCCAUCAUUGACGCUGA